UCCUCGAUACAUCCAAAGCUCAAUCAGAUAUCCCCAAAUUAGAGCCCCUUCUCUCACACCAAAAUCCCCUUCUCUCUUUCACUCUGAACAGAGGCGACAAGCUUCCCCAAAUCAUGUGCUCUCUCCAAAUCCCUAAAGGCUAAAUCCAACACCAGUGAUUUUUGCUAGGAUUUGGGUCUUGUGACAUUUUACAGCUGUCGAGGCUUGAAUUAAUGUAGAACUGAGGUUUGGAAAGUCGCUGGAAAAUAGCAAUAUUUUCUAUUGAGGCAGUCAGGGUGCUGCUCGCAAAUUAGCUACACAGAGAAAGAAUAUAGAGGUCGCUGAAUUUGCUGGUGUAGCAGCAAAGCGAGUGAAGCUGCUAGCCUAUUUAAUUAAAAAAGAAGGGAUCAAUGUACUUUUAUUAAAACACGACCAACAACAACAACGACUAGGGUUCCCUUUCCCACUUCAACAGAGAUUCAGCGG